AAAAGGCCAGUGAUUUUUCUUCCUAUGGGAAUUGAUAUUAUAAUUCUCGUUCUCUGUAUUUUGAUUGUGGAUGAUUUCCCCCCCCAGUAAUAAUAUGCACAAUAUUAUAACUAACACAAUGCAUGUUGUGUGAUAACGCCCAGUGAUUUUUGUAUUUGUAUAUUUGAAAACUUGAUAACUGCUUGUUCUUUAUGCAAAAUGUAGUGCAUUUGCUUGUGAACUGAACACAUUAACCGACUCUCUCUUAUUCUGUUUCCCAAAUAAAUUUGGUUCUAGAUGAUUCUGCUUUUCAUCUCCUCUUAAAGCCUCUGAAGACAAUAGGAUGUGAGCCUGUCACUGAAUGACAUGUGAGCUCAGAUGACAUGAGAGAGUUGAAGCUCAACAUGGGAGCGACUCUGGCAGGAAUCCACUGAACACAGGGCGAGAUGGAGGGCGUGUGGCGCAGCCGUCCCACUGAGCUCAAAAUGGUCCCAGAUGGGCUGUGACAGGAAACUCAUCUCAUCCUAUGCAGAGGAAGGACAGAGACCUCUUUCCACAAACAAACGCUUCUCUUUUGCCGUCCAAAAACAGCCGAGCAAACAGAAAUGCUAAUGAAUCAGUCAGCUUCCAGUACGAGCCGGCGAUUCUACAGCUGCAGGAAGGUAUUGCUGCAUCACAGCAUCCAUGUUUCCCACAAUCCUCUGGUCCAAUCGCUCUUCAGCGUCGCUAAAUGGCACAGGUGAUUUCUUUAAACAUGACAGAUCUGGAUCUUCACCUCCGACUGUCUGUGCAGAUUAUUUAUUCUCAUUCUGUGUUGAGAUGCUCUCGUCUCACCCGUGACCCGCUGUACUGUAGUCUGGUACUGAGAUACAGUGUGUCUGCAGGGGCCACUGAGCCCACAGCACAUAUACCGUUAAUGGCCAGGAAAAACCAAAGCACCACAGAAAAAUCAAAUGUCUAUAAAUCCUUGUUUUCUCCUAGACGAAAAUGAAACCACAAGCCAAUGGAGACUUUUGCUCAAAUCUCCUACUUCUCAGA